UACGGAGGAUCCGAGCGUUAUCCGGAUUUAUUGGGUUUAAAGGGUGCGCAGGCGGAAUAUUAAGUCGGCGGUGAAAGUUUGCAGCUUAACUGUAAAAUUGCCGUUGAUACUGGUAUUCUUGAGUGUAUAUGAAGUAGGCGGAAUUUGUAGUGUAGCGGUGAAAUACAUAGAUAUUACAAGGAACUCCGAUUGCGAAGGCAGCUUACUAAAUUACAACUGACGCUUAGGCACGAAGGCGUGGGUAUCAAACAGGAUUAGAUACCCGGGUAGUCCCUGAGCGGG
rnacentral:rRNA from 1 species